rnacentral:rRNA from 1 species
UACGUAGGGGGCAAGCGUUGUCCGGAUUUAUUGGGCGUAAAGAGCGUGUAGGCGGCCUGAAAGGUCAGCUGUGAAAACUCGAGGCUCAACCUCGAGACGUCGGUUGAAACCAUCUGGCUAGAGUCCGGAAGAGGAGUGUGGAAUUCCCGGUGUAGCGGUGAAAUGCGCAGAUAUCGGGAAGAACACCCGUGGCGAAGGCGGCGACCUGGUCCUUGACUGACGCUGAGGCGCGAAAGCGUGGGGAGCAAACAGG